AUUGGAAACUAGCGUGGAAGGAGCAGCUCGGUUUUGUACCGGAAGUGUUGAUGAGAGCCCCUUGGGGAUCCUAGGGCCUGAAGGCAGGAGGAGGAGAGUGGAAAGCUCUCUCUCCUUUUCAGACUCAUUUCCCAAAACAAGAGUAUAUGCAGAGGGUGUUCCCUCUAAGCCAAAGAGCAUGUGCAGAAUGCAACAUGCAAUCUCCUAAGCAUUCCCCUAAGCCUCAGACCCACAUUACUGCUUGAAGGCACAGGAUUUUUUAUUAUUGUUGUUGAUGAUGAUGAAGUUUGCAGCUACAGAAGGCCAUGCAACAAUCCCAGAAGUAAUGCUGCAACAAGUAAGGUUUUGACAAGAAGGGAUGGUAAUCCUGUAUGGAUCGCAUAGGUUGACAAAAGAAGGUAUCAAGAGGUGACGAGUGCAGAAGUGCCAGCAGACCUGAUUGAAAGAAGGGUCUUCAUAGACAAGGAUUUCAUCCAGCCGCUGAUGAUACUGGCCAAACACACACCCUUCUUCAAAAGAAUCAGAUACCCGAAAUCCCCUUCAUAAAUUGCCGUGUAAAGAAUACAGAGGUAACAGUUGUCUGUGAAGGGCUCAGUGUGAUGUUGCCAUCUUCAUCCGAAACAAAACUGUCCUCUGUGAGUAUGUAGUAGCCAUUCGAGAGAAGACGAGGGCUCCGGCGGCACAUGAAGACACAGCUUGUCCAGGGGUUGAUGGAACCACAUUCGUAGAAGGCCUCAUGGUCCAGAAAAGCAUCCGAGUGUCUGAAAUAAAAA